CUCGAAUAAAGAGUUCAUGAUGUAUUUAAUAUUUCAAUCCUAUGAAUUGGAUACUGUCUUAAAAGUGCUCUAAGCUGCAAUCAACGUAAGCGAGGUUAUUGGACAGAGGGCUCGAUGGCGCGUUUUUUGAAUGCGCGAUUUCUCGAGGGCUUUGAGGAUACUGCAUUGUGCGGCCUCUGUAGAUGAGGGGCACGAGAACGGCACGAGCCAGAGGGAACAAAAGGACAGAUGGCCCCCAGGUCUUUACAAUGAAUUAUGGAUAAGUUGGAGGAAAUUGGGACCAUCAAAUAUUUCCUGACGGAUAUCAAUGCUGAUGCUGAGAGAUUUGGAGGCGUGAACCAAUCGCCCCCGCCCCGAAAGAGAUUGCUGUUCUGUCAUUUGUGCACCAGUCCAUUGCACUAAAGGGCGGUCAAUACGAUCCGCGGUUCCAGGCAUCCACCCCAAAGACAUGUUCCUACUGUCACAGCUACUCAAAACCAUGAACAUCAAGGACGAUUUCUGCAUCUCACGGAUGACUUCAUUGCUGUGGUGUGUUGGAGAUAUGUAUGCUAUGGAAGUCCGGACGUUUUCAACCGGACGAACAAAUAAAGUGAUCCCUUUCUGUUUGUGUCGUUUUCAAUACUAUUAUUUGCACAGCUAUUCCUGCUACACGAAUGGAUGCUGGUAUAAUAAAGAUUUUGUUUUGGUCUGGUCUGGUUAUUUGUUUAUAUGGUUAUACAUGUGUUCUAAAAUAAGUAAUAGAAAUCGUGAUGUUUGGAAUGCAUAUAAAUCCUCUUUGUCAGUCAUACGAGGGAAUAAUUUGUGAUAAACAGAAGAUGUAAAAAUUCCACAUGGAG
ensembl:lncRNA